UAAAGCGAUUCAGCGGGUUACGAUUGACGGAGCGAAGCGACGUCAAAGCGUAUACAAAGUCGAGUCGGUUUAAGGAUACGUUCGUUGGGUAGGGGAGCGUUCUGUAAGCCUGUGAAGGUGGCCUGUGAGGGUUGCUGGAGGUAUCAGAAGUGCGAAUGCUGACAUAAGUAACGAUAAAGCGGGUGAAAAGCCCGCUCGCCGGAAGACCAAGGGUUCCUGUCCAACGUUAAUCGGGGCAGGGUGAGUCGACCCCUAAGGCGAGGCCGAAAGGCGUAGUCGAUGGGAAACGGGUUAAUAUUCCCGUACUUGGUGUUACUGCGAAGGGGGGACGGAGAAGGCUAUGUUGGCCGGGCGACGGUUGUCCCGGUUUAAGCGUGUAGGUGUGUGUUCCAGGUAAAUCCGGUU
rnacentral:rRNA from 3 species